UGCCAGUGUGGUGAAAUUGGUAGACACGACGGAUUCAAAAUCCGUUGCCUUUAAAAGCGUGUCGGUUCGAGUCCGACCACUGGUACCAA
rnacentral:tRNA from 1 species